GCCCUAAUGGCUCAGUGGUUAAUGCGGCUCGGAUAACCAAACCUGUGGUCCCGGGUUCAAUUCCUGGUGCAGGCU